UACGGAGGGGGCUAGCGUUGUUCGGAAUUACUGGGCGUAAAGCGCGCGUAGGCGGACCUGCAAGUCGGGGGUGAAAGCCCGAGGCUCAACCUCGGAACUGCCUUCGAUACUGCGGGUCUCGAGUCCGGGAGAGGUGAGUGGAAUUCCUAGUGUAGAGGUGAAAUUCGUAGAUAUUAGGAAGAACACCAGUGGCGAAGGCGGCUCACUGGCCCGGUACUGACACUGAAGCACGAAAGCGUGGGGAGCAAACAGG
rnacentral:rRNA from 1 species